UCGAUAUUGCCUCUCUAAUUCAGUUAGC
rnacentral:sRNA from 1 species